GAACUUAGAAUAUGUACAUUAGUUACAUUAUUCAACACCCAUUCCUACCAUUUUUUUUUUUAUGUUUUUUUUUUGUUAUUUGAAUUGCCUUAUAAUAAUCUUAUAAAAUUUUAUAAAUAUCUUAUAAAAUCUUAUAAACUUAUAUUUAAAAUAACGUCUUCUUAUAUAUGUUCAUACAAAAAUAGGGAUACUUAUUACUAAAAUAAAUAAAAAGACAAAAAAACUUAAAAUUGAUAAUUUGGUAGGAUAUGUGUACCUAAAUGGAUAAUUAGUAAAAAUUUGGUGUUAGAAAACGGUUUCAGUCCAAAUUAAAUGAAACAAUUCUGUAUUUAUAGAUUAUGAAAAUAAUAAGUUUUAGUAUAAAACAAUUAAAAAUUAAAAGUUUACUAUAAAAUAUUUAACAUUUAAUAGUUAAGAAGUAAAAAAAUAAAUUUAAAUACACACGCGGCAUUGUCUC
rnacentral:lncRNA from 1 species